CCUACGGGAGGCAGCAGUGGGGAAUAUUGCACAAUGGGGGGAACCCUGAUGCAGCAACGCCGCGUGGGUGAAGAAGUACUUCGGUAUGUAAAGCCCUGUCAGCAGGGAAGAAAAUGACGGUACCUGACCAAGAAGCCCCGGCUAACUACGUGCCAGCAGCCGCGGUAAUACGUAGGGGGCAAGCGUUAUCCGGAUUUACUGGGUGUAAAGGGAGCGUAGACGGUAAGGCAAGUCUGGAGUGAAAGCCCGGGGCUCAACCACGGGACUGCUUUGGAAACUGUGUUGCUGGAGUGCAGGAGGGGUAAGCGGAAUUCCUAGUGUAGCGGUGAAAUGCGUAGAUAUUAGGAGGAACACCAGUGGCGAAGGCGGCUUACUGGACUGUAACUGACGUUGAGGCUCGAAGGCGUGGGGAGCAAACAGGAUUAGAUACCCGGGUAGUC
rnacentral:rRNA from 1 species